GGGUGGGUGGCUCAGUGGUUAGAGCCUAGGGCUCGUAACCCAAAGGUUCCGAGUUCGAACCUCGCAAGAGGCUCA
rnacentral:tRNA from 1 species